ensembl:rRNA 5S_rRNA 5S ribosomal RNA
GUCUACGGCUAUCCCACCCUAAAGGCACUGGAUCUCCUACAAUCUCAGAAGUUAAGCUUGGAAGCUAAGCAGUGUAGGGCCUGGUUAGUACUUGGAUGGGGGACUACCUGGUGCUGUAGGCU